rnacentral:tRNA from 1 species
GCAAUGAUGGUUCAGUGGUAGAACACUCACCUUCCAUGCAUGGGACCAGGGUUUGAUUCCCGGCCAGUGCA